UUUAACAUUUUCUUGGUUUUUGAACUGACUCCAAUUACAUUUACAUUUUUCUGGGGACGGUGCCCCGAACCAGAUGCACUAAUACAAGUGGAGACCCAUCAGGGGUGUAUUCAAGACAGUCUGGUUUCAUUUCCAUUUUGGAAAACAAAACAAAACAAAACAGAACUGUAAUUUUGUUAACGCUACCAGAUGUUUUGCUAUCGCCAGCAGAAGUUGAAAAAAAGACACGACACCACGAACCUAUGGGGAAGAAGUUCUCUGAAUGCAAAAGGCAAGCUUACUUUUGCCCCUUCUAUUAAAAAUACGUAAUUCAAAGCUCUGUUUGCAACACUCGGAUUCCCCAAGUUUCUGCCUCUUCAAGGCAUACGUUCCAGGGACAAGGUCUAAAACCAGAAUUCCUUCUAUCUGUUAAGCUACAAACAAGUUCACGGCACACACGGAGAGAAUUGAACCCAUUUGGUCCAAUGACAGGGAGCCCAGGAGGGCUCCCAAGUACAGCUAAUGGCACUCAUUUUGUUUCCAGAGAUUUAGAGCAAGGUAACACUCUGUUAGGAAACGUUUAAGCCUUUUUUAAACGAAAAUGUAGCAGCCUUUUACAAGUAGACUUGGAAGUGCCUUGUAUACGUGGAAAGGGCUGCUAAGUUAAAACAGUUUGCCCACAGCAGCAUCUGGCAGCUUGUUUACAGCAGUCAGCAACUUAGGUGUCAGGGAACAAGGUGUAAUGAGGGCGGAUAACUAAUGUUUACUAAUAGCACCAUCUAUAAUUUAUUGCUAUUUUCAUCAGCUUAUGUGCCAUCGGAAGCCAAAAUAGCGGUGGCUGGGGACCAGAGAAGGAAGGAGGGCCACAAAACUCGGAGGGAGAAGCUCCUGUCAGUCAGUGCCAGGCUAUUGCAUGUAUACUUCCAGAAUCGUGUGCCAUUCAGCAAAGGAGAGUCGUUUCACUCAGCCUUGGUAAGAAAUAGUACUAGCAGCUCUUGUAUAAUUCAUUUUAUCCACAGAUCUCGCUACACUUUAAAAAGCAGAACAUUGUUAUUCCUGUUUUGUGGGUGUGAAACUUAGGCAAGUCAUUUUGCCUUUUUUUUUGCCUCGGGUCAGCCAAGAAGCCAGUGGCAAAACCAAAAAUAGAGAUCAGCUCAAUCCACGAGCACACGCUGUCUUCUCAUUUAAAUUCUACAGUAAGUAGAAUGGUAUCAAGUCUCAAUUCAUCUUCCUUCCUUAGGGUGUUUUAGGAGAUUAUAGCUUAUUCUAAAUAGAAUUUGUUUCCACAAAAAGCCAAUAUAUUUUUAGACGAAGAUUAACAAUUGUGACAUCCCAGCAGGCAUCUGCUAAUAGUGCUGCUCUGAGUUCAUAUGCAUUUUCAAGAAGCAUGUUCAGCCAUACACAUUCUUGUUUUAACAGUGGCUAGACCACGACUUGAUUCUUCUCUCAGUUAUGUUGGCAUCGACAAGCAACUCCAACGAAAGCAACGUAAUUACACUGGUGAAAAAACAGGCUUGGUGAGAUGAGGAUCUGGGCCUCGGUGUUUCAAGUAGGACAGCAAAACAACUGCCUGUGGGAAUCCAACAGCUUGCCAAAGACGGGAAGGUCACCUUUUUUAUUGUUUUGAUGAAAAGGCACAAGGCAAAGGGCAAAGGAUCAAGUUGGAACAGUGAUUUGUAAUUAGCCAAUUUUAAAAAUAGGCUAACAGACUAGGCAAGAACACACAGCAAGUUCCUGUAGCUCACUGUAAACAAAAAGAACCACCUCGUUGCAUUUCAGGCAUGAUCGCUGAUCCUUUCAGAACAAUUCUCCUCUCCAGAAGCCUGUUUGUAUCUUCAAUAUUAAACAAAUUCAAAGUCCUGAUCUCUAUAUAUAGCCUGGAGGUUUCACUUUCACUGACACAGGUCAUUUUAACUAGGAUCAGCAAACUGACCGAAGCUGGUAUACAGCAGGCACGGUGGGCUGGGACGGAGGAGGAGGUGAGUGAGGGGACGCUGCCUGCACCAGCCGUGCUGCUUUCUAUGCUGAAAAUGCUGAAUGCUACCUAACGAGGGUUUGCGUUAUGAGUACGGUAUGCUCAGCUCAGCAGGUAUGUGGAAGAAAAGCAGAAAGCAUCAGUGUAUUCCUGAGAAAGGACGUGGUUUUGGUGUGCAUGAGAAAGGAAAAUAAGUGAAAAAAAAAAACCUACAUUGACAUUUCUCUUCAGAAAAAAUAGGAAAAAGAAAACAAUGCUCUCAUCAGGCAAUUCAGAGGGAAGAGAAUUUGUAUGUUAGAUGGGAUGUCACGUUAUCUAAGAUGACUGUCAUGUGCAGAGUAUCAAAAGAAAAAGUCAAACUUUUUUUUUUCUCUUGAGGAAAGGUGAAGAUAAUCCGGGGUAUCAAAACAGUAGCAGAAACGCUGCAUGUCAAAGUGUCUUAAUAAAACAGAACACGAUGUAAAGGCCUAGAAUUUAGCUUUGAUUCUGUUCUCUUUGAAUCCCUCAACAAAACUGGCUCCUUCUCCCCUCCUGGGAAUUCCCUAGAAUGGGGAAAAUCCCUGUGAGAUUAGAGUAGGUGUAACUAGCCACUGUCUAGUACAUACAAUUUGCUGGGCUUUCAUGAUCCUCUGAGCUGACAAAUACAAAGGAAAGAACAGUUCUUGCCUCUAACUAGGAAUAUUAGUACAUCAUUGUGGUGAAAAAGCCACCGACCUCUUUUGGAUCUGGCUUAACAUUUUGGUUUAGCCUUGGUCUCUUUUGUCUCGCAUAAUUUUUAAAGAUUUGAACAUGUUCUAUGGGAAAGUAUCCAUAACGCUGAGACAAAAAGACCACAAUUCUUUUCAAAAUCUGAUGGUCUUGACUCGGUCGUGCUUUCAUCCCUUUUAAUAAUCCACUAAAACAUCUUAUUAGAACGUAGACAUUUUUCAGGAUUUGUGAAGAGACUACCUCAGGAACUUAACUACAGCUUGAUUUAAAUACAGGGCUAUCAGGUUCUAGGUUCUUAGUCUCACUUCACAUCUCUAAUGAUUGAAAAAAUCAUUAGGAGACAAUUAGAAAUAAUAGGAAAUAUUCUACGCAUUCUUCCCCCUAUUUCCCUGAAUGUGACAAGUCUUUCCUUAACAAAAGGUAACUUUUCAGAAAAUUCAUAUUAUUGGUUAUCAUUUCUUGUAUGUUUGAUGGUCUGGUACCUACUGUAGUGCACAGUAAUGAAUAGUGGAAAAAUACCACCCAAAUUGUUACCUGGAAAAAUAAUUGAGGGUUAAAGAACAAUCCCUUCACAGGACAGUGCUGAUGGACCGUGGCAGUGUGAGUUGCAAAAACUUUACCCCAUCAUCCAGCUGAGGGUUUUUUAAAAACUUCUUUGAUUUUCCACAACUACAGUCUGUCACUGCAGUGCAAACAAGUGAAUGAUGAAUUGGUGCAGAGCAGCAGGAAUCUUUUCAAUCAGGGAAAAGAGGUAUUUUAUCAAACGUAUUUAUAUAUAUUUUAAAGGCAGACUAUUUCAUAGAUCUCGUUACUGAAUGGAUCAACAGCUGACCUGACACAAGUGGUGAAAAUCUCUAGGACGGGAGAAAAUGAAACGAAUGGCUGAGACUACAGGAUUUCAAGAGUGGUAUCGUCUUAUAUGAGUUUUGACUCUUCCAAAAUAUCAUUGUGCAAUCACAACCUCAAUUUAAAAAGACCAAAACACAUAACCUGCAGAACGAGAACGGAUGUCCACGGCUCUUCAACAAGAACUUCCAUGAAUAUUUCUGCUGACCCACUGCACAGAAGGAAAUUUUACCGCACUAGAUCUUAAAAGAUGUAACAAAGAAGGCACCCAGAUGAAUAUCCUGAAGCAUUUGCGGUAGCACACUGUGGUGCACAUCACUGAAAUGACGAUAUCACCAAGAGAUCAAAAUUCCUAAAUUAUGUUAGGAGCAUGAAAACUUCAGCACAAAGGAAUUAUUUAUUGGACUAACUGCCAAAAGUAAAAAGUUUUCUCAUGGAACAAUUAGCUUUUCCUUACAUCUCUAGCAGUUAACUUUUUGGAAAAAGGUGGGCACACUGAUGCUUCCAUAAUCUGUGGAAUGUGUGAUUCUGAACUUGAAGCUCUGAAGAGAUUCAAAACCCCAAACCAAACAGGAAUGUAUCUUCAGAUAUUUAAGUUUAACAAACAUUCCAUCAUUCGUACCAAACAUCUGUUUUGUGUUUAGGAAAGAUUGUGGAAAUUUUCAAAAUUACUACUCGCUAACUUUAUUUCCCUCCCACGUUGUUCUUCAUUGAUGUCUCUCGAUUACAUUAUUUUUGGAACUGCAGUUACAUAAUUAUUUUCAAGGCAAUGUGAUGGUGAUGUUAGAAUAGGCUGUCUGAAACAUACUGUACUCACCCAGGACUGAAGAAGGCUGCCUACGGUUCCUAUGCUGAACAGAACGUUGUAUCACGAUGAAAUACCAGGCUUAAAGCAGAAAAAAACAACACAAAUCAAAAUAACCUUUGCAACCCAAGCAAAGGGUGAUCUUUACAUGCCCCAGGAUGGAUUUAGAUAUAUGGAUACCCUGGAUAUACGUACAGGCAGGGGGACGGGAGGUUGGAGAGCAGCCUGUUUCACUCAUGCAGAAAAAAGAUUGCCUGCUGACCCCCUUACAAAUUUGGUCCUCUGUCUUUUAUAGGUAAAAAUAAAAAGGACUGCCCUUCCCUGCUCCCCGUUGCUCUCCCCGUUAUGUAUUGGGAUUUUGUGCAAAAGCAUGUUGUGCUUUAGGAACUACGAUAUUAAAAGCAACAUCAUAGAUGUGUUUUCACUACACAGUCAUUAAGACACAGUACAGCACAAUCCAAAUGCUACUCAUUUUCUCCAGUAAGAAGUUGCUCUAAAAGCUUGUACCCAAGAGAAUAAUUUUGACGAAUCAGAAGUUUUUCAUCAAUUUUCUAAGUACAGUGCCUCCCACAGAAUCCAGAUGGGUCACAAAUGAAAAGUAUAAACAAAAGAAUACUUAGUUUACGUAUGCUGACCCAAUUUAUCAUAGAUAAAAAAGGCAAUCCAUAUAAGUAAUAUGCCAAAUUCUCAUGCUUUCACUAGACAAGUUUUUACUUUGAAACUAGCUUACCCUUGAUUUACCACUAAAAAACUGUACCUGAAAUUCUAUCUAAUUAUAAAGGCAUCUCCUACAGCCUUGGAUUACAAUAACAUCAAGGUUGUGGGGCAAAUAUGAGAAUCUGCACUGUGCAGGGGGUGCUGGAGUUUUGCUGGCAACGCCUACCUCAGCCAGGGCAGGCAGGCACCUCCUCUACCUAACUGCCUUCACCUUUUGUACCAUUUAAGUUCCCUUGUGAAAGACAGAUCUCUAAAUAUCAGAAAGAUGUCAAUCUGCAUACCCCUGGCUUGUUACACCUGCCAGCAGACAACUCUCAUGUCUCUAGUAAUGCCCAGAAUUUCACGAGCAACGGGGAAUGAAAACUGAAGGAAUAUCUGCUCCUUUUCACUGCCUCGAUACGGAGCACUAAUGAGCUCCAGCAGCUGCUUUUCCCCAACAGGUCAUUUUCUUCUUCUGCCUGGCCAAAAAAGAAAAAAAAAAGAUUGAAUAAUACUAGCAGGAUAUUCCCAAUGAAUAAUAUUAACGGGAUCAAGCAAUUAGAAGGAAGAAGGUAUAUUCACUCUCCUUACAGCUAAGAACUUGGAAAAUGCCUGCCUUUCCACCCAAGUACUGAACUUCAUCUCUCUUCUUUUCCUUUCCAUCUUUUGUUUUCUUUCUGCUGUGUAUACUAUCAAGUUUUACGCAUUUUAUAUAAACAGGGACCUGAGAGAGGAUAGAAGUAUAGAAAGUGAUGGAUAGAGUAAAUUAGCAAAAGGGAAUUAUGAUUCUUUGGAAGCAACGUUAUUUUUGGAAAGAUGAGAGGCAGGAAAAGAGCAGUAUGAAAAACAAGUGCACGGUAAGAACAUGAUGCAGAAAGAUAAGAACAAGAGGUGGAGGCAAAUAAGAGGAAAUCAUACAUGGUUCAGGGAUGGCAUGCUAUUGAUCUAGUAUGGGUAAAAAAGGGAGAAAAAUGGACUAAAGUCAGAAAUGGAAAGCAGAAAUAAUGAAACCCAUAAGGGAACACACAACUGAUAUAUUCGGGAACAUUACCACCUUAUUUUAUAAUUAGUUGUCACAAAGAUCAACGUGUUCUCUGAAGCUGCACCUACUUAGGCAACACACCGGUGAAAAAUCUUUCUGCGUCUUCUCCAGGCUCCAAGUGUAUGUUACUGGGCUGGGAAGGAACCGGGGACGGCAGCAUCAGAUAACUUACUGGAGCCUGAUAUAGGGGCUAACAACCGGAGCCUUAUAAAACAAGCAAACAAAACCUUACUAGCAAACUCCUGUGGAAAGAACAGCUCAGACAGCUCCCAGAGGCAAGAGCAUAUAUAUGCCUGCCCAGAGUGGUUUUACACAAAUUUGUUACCAUCGACUCCGUACGAUUCUUCUUGCAGCUUUUGAUUUGUGCCAGCAGCUCUUCAGCAUCAGGAGUACUAAAAUUUACCCAAAGACAUUUAUGUCUCGAAAUGCAUCUAGGAAAACAGCUAUUUGCAUUAAGAGAACAGCCAGCAAGUAAUUCGUUAACAAGACAGAACAGAAGUAUUAAUCAUAUCAUUCUGUGGCUCAUUAAGGCGGGAGAAAAUACAACAGCCUCAGUGCUGGGUGUUAAAAUGCAAUACAUAACAAUUGUAUUUAUUGUGGCAAAUAUUUUCAAAGGAGUUUCUUUAGAAAAUCUCCCCUUUGACUGCAGUGAUUCUUGUAUGGCAAACAGCUCCAGACUGAAAAGGCAAGAGAUGCAUUAUUUUAAAUAGUCAAAAAGACAAUUUCCAGUAAGAGUGCGGAAAAUCACCCAAACAAUAAAAACUGUGGAAGUUAUAUGACAAAAGAGCAGGGCAAGAAAUUAUAGAUACAGUAACAACCUAGUAUCCAAUCUGUGUCAUGGGAGUACAGCAGAAGCCCAAGGAACACCCUGAAGUACCGACAAUACCAACAUCCAGUGCAUUGCUGGUUUGCAUUUAAUUAUUUGCAACUGCACAGCAUCCAGGGACUCUACCAAAAGCAGAAGACCACAGAGUUGUGCUGUCUGUGAAGGAGGAUGUUAUAAUGGGAAGCAACGGCCACGUGCUAUUUGCACAGUGCUGAGACAAAAUUCCUGUAGCAGAAAUUAAAACAGACCCUUCACUCCUGGUGUUGAUAUCGGAAAAAUGGCAAAAAAGCUUUUAUCCCAACAACCUCUUUCCCUGAUCAUAAGGUUACUACUUGCUGGCUUUCAUUGUCUUCAUACAGAGGGAUCGCUCUGGGUUCUCCAGAGGCAGGUGAAGCCUCAGCACCAAUGCAGAACGAUGGGGAAGCUGGACGCUGGGGCUGCUGUAACAUCACCUCACUAUAUGCCCAGUAAAUAUGGGCCAGGUCCGCUGUGGCACUUCAGUCUCCAAAAAAACUGCAUACAAUAAUUCCCUCUCUCUUUCCUUCUCUCUUUAUUCCAUUCCAGCCUGGCAUCGCCUGGUUCUGUCUCCAUGAUCUGCAGUGGGAAAAGGAGCUUUUUUGUACGGUAGCAUCUAACGUGGUAAUAAUUUCAGGGAGAACUUUUUCACAUCCUGGAUGUUCAGAGAACAUGGAUACAAGCAAGUCUUGUAUGUAAUUAGGGCACAGCAUUUUGAGAUUUUCUUGUAACGCUCUGCCCCAGAUUAUUCAAGCAGGUAUUUUAUGAGAGUUCAAUUCUAUUAUGUGGGAAAGCAGGCAGGACGAAAUGCGCACAGGAGAAGUAGACUUCUGUAAUUAAAGUACGUAACCAAAGAAACGGCUACCAAUUUUGCCUCACGUUGCAAUACCCUGACUGACGACCUCCCUUCUCUGGAAACUUUUAUCUGAUCUCUUUUCCCUCUCUCUUCGCACUUGUUUAGGAAAUUCUACCUCCUUGGCUUAAAGAUUCCUAAGUAUUUGAAGGGACGAAGUCAGUAGUGCUGUGAAUCCACCGCUUGCAUCUUGCGGCAGUAGCAACUGCUCUAGCACUGGACUCAUUUCAAAUGAAUGAAUUUUAUUUUGCCAUCACGGUGGUGAAACCAGCCUCUGCUGUCACCAAACCACGAGCAAGCACGCACAUAUUGAGGAAGGCUCACCAAAGAGAUUCAGCUACCGAUAGCUGGCAAAUAGGGCACGCAUUAAAGAGAUGAGAAGACCGAUAGGCGCAUUGUUCUACUUUUGUGGGUAGUGUCUAAUAGUUUACUGACCUCCAAGGGGGAAAAAUGCCAGUCACAUGAGACUGGGAAUUGGCGGUGCUGUGAGCGAAGCCAAGAAGUGGCUCUGAAUAACAUAAACCAACGAGGAGUGCCAGAGUGUUUCAGACAAGUGCUCUUUGCGUGGCGAGAGAACACAAGAUGGAGUAGCUGAUUUUCUUCUCCCACUUGGAAAAUACACCCCCAAAAACUUAUCACCUGCUAGGAUCAAAAUGUUUCUGGAUUCAUUUACUCCAUUACCCAAGUGAACUCUCUAGAGAAUUAAGCAAUAGUUUCCUUGCCUCAUAUGGUCUAAACCUAAAAGCUUGGUAAACAUUAGCUUUAUCUCACAAACCAUAAUUUUUAAUUGCUAACACACAUAGGAAGGGCAUAAUCCUCCGCUGAUGAUAUCAUAGUCUACUGCCAUGGAAAUGACUGCAGUACCAUAAACACAGGUUUAAGAUGACCUCACUUUAGUAGGAAAGAGGGAAAUUUCAGAGGAAUGUGAAUGGCAUUGGGAAUAAACACCCAGAGAUACUAUGCAGUGAAAACACUCUCUUACUAGCUGGGUAAAGUACAGAAGAGGAAGACGACAGCGAGGAGAGCAGCGUGGGAGCUCUCCUGUCCAAGCACCGUAUCACUGCCUCUGGAUUUUCGAGCACAGAGCCCUCUGAACUCAUGUCAGGGUUCCUCUCCAUCAACCCGCUGCAGACAGGAGUGAAAUCCCUGCCCUGACAGGCUUACAGGGUAACCACAUGAGCAUGAACAAAGCAUGGCUCUGAGAACGCAGGGCAGGAUCACAGAACAACACUGGAGCUGGAAUGCUUCCUAGAAUGAGUAAGUGCCUCAGAAGUGGGAGGAAGAGAACCAUACAGCCUCUUGAAGCACACAAAAUAACAUGAAGUCAGACGCAAAUUCAGAAGUACACUCGCAGUGUGGCAAGUGCUAAGCACUUUGGCAGCAGCUCAGGAAAAUCCAUAUAUUUAACCUUCAGCUCUGAAGUAACCGGAGAGGCGUCAAACAACUGAUGGAUUGGAAGCCGAAACCUGUGGGUGAGCUCCGUGUCGCCGUGAGCUGGGAAUGUUGAGUACCGUGCAGGACCCUGAGCUGGGAUGAGAAAAGAGCUUGAGCUGGGAACAGGGAGUGGAGAAAUGUGGAAGGCGAUAAUGAUCUCACUUAAGGAGAACCUUUCAUCUUGAAGGAUCUCAAAGCAAUUUACAAACUUAACCAGACCAGACACUGCAGCUGGUAGGAGCAGAAGCAGACAUCUGGGAACUCAUUCAUGGGAAGGAGGAGGUAACAGAGGCCUUACUGGGUGCUGGAUCUUCCAAAAUGCUGUUGCUGGGAGAAGAUAGCAGGGCUAGAGCAGAGCUUUGCUCUGCACCUUGCCAAGCAGCCCUGUGAGAAAGCUGCAGAAGGCAAGCAGGCAGCCAGGGCUGGCAGAAAGAGCAGCAGAAAAACAGGGGCCCUCUGGAUAGCUGGGGAGCUGUCACUGUUAGCCUUGUAGCUUCCCUGCCUGGUUUCUCAGCCCCAGCUCCGCAGCUUCUUCACGCCUCCUGCAGUAAAACCUCAUGCCUUGCCUGGCAUUUCCGCCCGUUCAAAACCUCUUUCCUACCUCUCUGCAAAGGCGACUCCACCCACUCUUGCUCCCCAAACUCCAAAAUGUUUCCCAAAUGAGCAGGAGGACAAGUAAUGGGAAGAAAUGACUUCGGCUACGGCAUUUAUGUCGUGCAGGCCUGACUGCAGUACCACGAGGGGUGUUCUUUAGCUCAAAAGCACCAGCAAAUACAUACUAUUAAAACUGAGGUAGGUAAGUCUAAAACAUGAGAGUCUCAUUAGUGACUGCUGAAAUGGGGUCGCUUUCGGAGGGGAGGACAGCACCUAACUGCAGCACGCAGGAGAUCAGUGCUCGAUAUGGUGAGGCCAAAUAAAAGGCAGGGAGGUUGCACUUACAUGGAAUCCAGAAAGCAACGCUUCAGUUCCACUUAAGUUAAAAGACACUGCGUGAUCAGCUUAACAUCCCUAUUUCCCAAGGCUUUUAAAACUUCCACGUCUCCGUUUAAGAAAGGGAAAAAAAAAACCGUUUUCCUGGAUAAGAGCCAAAGACAAGUGUCGAGCAGGUGUUCUAACACGACCGGCCCUCCUCAGACAGCAUCCUCUGCUACACAAACAGCAGUUUCUUUCAGAAAGUGCCAGCUCUGCUCAGUGGUGCGCUGUCUCUUCCUUGUGGUUCGUAACCUUGGCUGCAAACGCGGCUCUUCUAAUGGGUUAAAAACAGCCCUUGGUGGCCUUAGCCUAGAUAUCUUGUGUUAAUUUGAGUAAAAUCCACCCGGACCUUUUCCUCCCCACCCUGCUUCACCUCUUUAAUAUUUUGUUAUUGUUUUGUGAGAAGCACUUUGCUGGAAGCUUUUCAUGUCUGGACUGUGAUACCCAAUACUUUUAGCCCAGUAAAACAUUAAACUGUGUUGCACCCUAGAAUAAACCUAUCACUUAGAUUUCAGGGGGCAAUUUAAUUAAUGUCACAUUACAAUUUACUGAAAAGCCUCUUCUGACACAAAUGAGCUUUGGAUCGAUCAGGCCCUGCAUCAGAUGAGCAAUGUCUGAGCCAUUUCUGGUAUUCAAACCUGCAUAUAAAUAGAACAAUUUUCUUCCUGAAGUCCAUUAUUAAGGAUUUCAUCAACUUGAUUUUUACCGCAUUCUUCUUUUCAGACCCCAAGAUACAGCUUUCUUUCUGCCAGGGAAGAGAAGGCAGAGGGGAGCUGCCCCACACCACACUUUAGAUCCUCUAAAACCAGGGCAGAGCACCAAAGCAGAGAGCCUGAGCACCCUGCAUGUGCUGUACAGGCAAACUUUGCUAGGUCAGAGAAGAGGAGGGAAUGAAGGCGCUGAAAUCAAGCCCAGAUUUUUCACUAUUACAUAAACCAAACAAUUCACAGAUGACACAUUCUCUCAUGCCUUGAUGCCUUUCUCUGGAUCCAAAAGAUUAAUUUCCUCAACUGGACUAAGCUUGUAUUCCUUCACAGUUGUGCUUUCCCAUGCUGCUGGCAACGGCAGAUUGACUAGAAUGAGGAGUGGCUGCUGCAGGGGAAGCAUUACAGAUAAAAACAAAAACACAAAUGAAAUGGAUUUGAAGGAUUCUAGAACACUUUUCUCUGCUGCUAGGAGAAGCAGAAGAGGAGAAAAAAAAAACAACAUGAAAGCAAGAAUAAAAACAUUAAAAUGUGGUGACUGUGCAUGCCUGAGAAAUGGUGGAAAUGAGAACAUGUGUGAAAGACCUGGAAACAAAGCAAAGCAGAAAAUGAAGGCACACGUGAGACUUUCCCUGCUACCUCAAAAGAAACAUACAAAAAUUCCUUUUCACAUUCCCGCAAAAGCCUGAAAUCAUUGUCCCAAAUACUGCAUUUCAAGGAAGAAAGUACAUAUAGAGCUUAGGAUGAGGGAUUUCCAAGGAGACAGGGAGUCCUUUACUUCAGCACUUCGCUGACAGUAGCCACCAAUAGAGGCUUAAGAGGAGGAUGCAGAAUCUCCCCGCAGAGGUACCUUUGCCAUUUUGCACAAGCAGAGAUCGUGCUCUUAGGGGACUCGACACAGCCGUUGGCUGCUCCGGGAUGUUAAUUCCAGCUGCGCACUUGUCACUACAGUCCAGUCUGGCAACACACUACUUUGCAGCUCAGUGCUUUCUCCACCAUUUCGUUCUCCUCUCACUGAGCACCUUCAGUCAAUCAGUUUGCUUUUUGUAGAAGUUAUUAACGACAGUGGUCGCAACAGGGGGCUGGAAGCCGAAAUUUUUUAAUUCUAUUCCCUAGAGGCAAUAAAGCAAUCUGAGAGGAGGGAAGAGGUCCGCCAAAAACUAAGAUUUCAAAUCUUGAACAUCCUAACAAAUGUAGUUUUCCAGUAUUUGGGCUGUGGUCUCGUUCUCUUGAAUUCAAGUGAAAAACUGUUGCUGUUGUGACUAUCCAAGGCCUUUUUUUCCAUCUUACAUUUUGUUCUUUGCUUCUGCUGUUUUCAAUUGCCAUGCCAAAGUUUCUCCUGUUUAUUCUAAUUGUUUUAGUGUGUCUGACUCUCAUUGGUUUAUAUGUUUAGUCUUGUCCUUAUUUAAUACGAAUUAAAAUGCCACUGCCACGACCAGUCUGCAAAUAUGAGUCAGAAGAGAAACUGUUUCAAUAAUACUACGGACGGCACCCGUCUGGUUUGAUAUCUAGAUCAUAUAGAAUAAUGCUGGUUUUGUUUUCUACUACUAUUGCCUGGUAUUGCCAAUGAAGCGUUGAUUGUGAUUGUGACCACAAGUAUGUUUUGUUCCUGGUCCUAUUAAGUCAAAAGAGUGUGGUUUACUGCAUGUAUGUACGUGAGGCUGUUUUGAUUAUACUAAGUUCGCUUUAGAAAACCCACAUUCUGCCACUGCAGCGCUACAGGACAAUGAGAGAAGAAUUUCCAAUGAGAACAGUAUUUUAAAAGCAAACCGCUGGGCCCCUUCCCUUUAAAAGGACGUUAAGGCACACUACCCUUUCUUCUGAAUUUGAUUAUUUCUCAAAAUGACAUGCGAAUGCUGUCUUCAACAGAAGGUCCCCUUUCUUUCCCUUCUCAUUCAUUAUGUAAGGCGUAGCAAAUUUCAAAUUGCACAUUCCCGUUGCACACAGACAUUACGCUUCUUCAAAUCAUCGCUUUACUGCGCUGAGUAAAAACAUUCGAUGGUAACUCCUUGCGUUUGGUGAGUCUGGCUACCACAUGGCCGAUGGCGGCUUCAGGCUUAUCUUUCGGACUGUCGGCACCUUGCCUCUGAAGACCUGGGAACAUCUACCACUCAAUGUCUGCCACCCUUAGGUUCUAGCUCUCCAGAAUGAGGGUGAAGUUCUGGAGAGCCAGCGUCGCACCCCACCGGCUCGAGUUAUAGCAUUUAACCUCUGGCAACGCGCUUAUCUUCCAGGAAAAACAGGCUUCAGUCCUGAGCGGUGAAUAAGCCCGUCAAACGCAAUGUGUCCAGAAAUGUGCCUGACCUCCUUCACACCACUCUCCCUCCUACUGAGGUUUACUCAGUCUCUUCCAGCAGAUGACAGACGGGCAGUUAGCACGCUCGCCUCGCUCUCCACAUCUUCUCCUAGCUAAAACCUCAGCAUAAAUAACAAACUCAUGAAAAUCCGUCGCUCUUCUGUCCCCACUGAAACGAACCCUAGCUUUAAACCUAGAACAUGCAGCCUCCCUCCACUGCAGGCAUAAAAACAGUAAAGAAAAACCCUCCUGGAAUCAGUCCUAAUCUGGCAGUUUUUUUAAUAAAGCUUGCUUAUCAUUCCCUGUUUCACUCCUUUGCUCCCCACUUAGAGGCAUCCCUGCCCACAGCUUAAUGCUUUCAGGUCAUUUUACCAAGAUUUCUGUAACACUGGAUACAUCCAAGCUCUGUCUACACAGGUACUAAAUGGAGAUUUCAGUCUGACUGAACACUUGCCAGCUAAAUUUAAACCCAUUCUUUUCCCGAGUUUAUGAAGUGUCUGAAAUCCUGUGCUCGUAACAGAGAAUGAGGCUGGCCGUUCUUUUCCAGUUGAAUCAGAUUAGCUUAUCACUAAUAAAAAGCCCUUCGC